GCAUGUCAGCAGAUGUUUUAUGUGUUAAAGAAGAUUGGAUUUAUUUUCAAUAUAAUGUUAUAGAAAAAUGUUGCGGCAUCAUAAUUAGCAUGCUAAACUCUACUACUCUCCUAUGUUUAAGCAUGUACAUACUUAGAAAAGG